AUUUGUUAUUGAUUUGGUUGUUACAGUAUAGUUGGUGGCAGGAAAGAAUGAUGGUGCAAAGAACCUUGGAGCAAUAACAAAAAGUAUAGUUGAUGGCAGAAAAGAAUGAUGGUGCAAAGAACCUUGGAGCAAUAACAAAAAGUAUAGUUGGUGGCAGGAAAGAAUGAUGGUGCAAAGAACCUUGGAGCAAUAACAAAAAGUUCUUUUAUCAUAAGAAGAAAGACUUUACUUGUUGAUCCUUGAAAGCGGUAGGGAGAUGCAACUUCUUCGGCAUAAAAGCAAAAGAAAAGAUCAACACUAUAAAAGAAUUCAAGGUGAGUGCAUUCUUCUUGAAUAUAUAAAACCCCAACGUUCAUUUUAGUUUGAAUUGUUUAAACUUUAUGCUUCAUAGAUGCAUUGCUACUUUUAAAACUGUUUAAUUAUUAGCACAAGUUCUCUUACGUAUCAUUAAAUUAACGACUCGAUAACAUCACUAUCAACUUGAUUCUAUAAAGUUACUAGAACAAAUAUUGAAUAAUGAAUCCAUAGUAGUAAUGUUUUACUUCUACAUAAAGGUCAAAGAUCAUUCCUUUCAUUGAUAUGAAAGUAACUUUGCAAAUGCUAGGAGACCAAACAUUAAAAAUAAAAUUGAUAAAACAAGAUCAAAUUAUUCCAUAAUUUACUUGACAAUAAUUUUUAUAUACACAAUAAUAAGCCACUUUGAAAUAUGUCAUUCGACCUCACUCAUAAUUACAUAAUCUAAAAAAAAUAUAAACCAUGUAUAGAAAAAUAAGGGAUUACUUUCUCGGAAGCUUUCACAGUAUUCUCUACUGAAACAUUGACAGACCUGUCAUCAUGUUUGCGUUUGAGAAUCUGAUGCUUUUCCGAUCCUUUUCUGAUGUAAGAAAACAUGUAAUUAUAAACAACACAUUCAUAUUCAUAGAAAACACAACAAAAAUACAUAAUUGAAAUAUAUCAUUCCUCAUGGCUCCUAAUUACCGUAUGUAAAGAAAAAUAUAAAUAUUGUACAAAAGAAUAAGAGAUUACCACUUCUCAAAACCUUCAACAAGAUCAACAGCACAACUAACCAAAUUUUCUCGAGGCUCCCAAGUGUUAUCUGUCUCAUCCCAUCCGAACCUUGGGCAAUAAAUAAAAAAAGAAACAAAAUAGUAUUAAAUAUAUCACAUUGUCCCUUUCCCCUUUAGUUUAUCACAAUUUAGCUCUAAAACAACAACAAAAACAAAAGGGGCACUCACCAUUUGACCAAAUACUCCACCUUACGCUGUAUAAUUGCCAUCAACAAAAAGAAAAGUUAAGCAUAAGAAAUAAUUGGACAUAAAAUUCAUUAUCAUACUCCAGGACAUAUAAGAUAUAAAAAAUAAAAACCCUCGAAUGAAAAAAGAAGAGAAGGAGAAAAAUAACCUUUCGGAUCCUCUUUUGACGAAUAGAUUCGACUUCAUAAAAGUCAUCAUUGAGAGAUGGAAAAUUGACGGCGAAACAUCUUUCGGAGCUUCCAAGGUUAUCUAUCGGAACAUCUUGUGACGAGAGAGAGAGAGAGAGCGAAGAAAGAGCAUAUGAUGUUAAUAGUUGUGCUAGCUCCGUAGCGGUAUCUAGCUGCUUUUGCAUUCUUCACUCUUUCUCGUCAUACCUUCUCUCGUCACAAGAUGUUCCGAAAGAUAACCUCGGAAGCUCCGAAAGAUGCUUCGGCGUCAAUUUUCCAUCUCUCAAUGAUGGCUUUUAUGAAACGAAUCUAUUCGUCAAAAGAGGGUCUGCCAGGUCAUGUUUCUCCUUCUCUUCUUUUUUCAUUCCAGGGUUUUUAUUUUGUAUAUCUUAUAUGUCUUAGAGUAUAAUAAUGAUUUUUCUGUCCAAUUAGUUCUUAUGCCUAACUUUUCUUUUUUGUUGAUGGAAAUUUUACAGGGUAAGGUGGAAUAUUUGGUCAAAUGGAUCGAAAAAGCAUCGAAUUCUCAAACGCAACGAAAAAGCAUCGAAUUCUCAAACGCAAGCAUGAUGAUAGGUCUGUCAAUGCUUCAGAAAAGAAUACAGUGAAAGCUUCCAAGAAGAGUUGCUGCUUUCUGCUGGUUACAAUUUUAGUUGAUUUGGUUUUAUUUCUUCUAUUUUGGGUUUUAAUUUUGUAUGACAAACUCUCAAUGCUUUAUGUCAUGUAAAGGCAUUGUGAGUUUGCGGGGAGAUGUUAGAUAAUAUAGAGUAGUUAUUAUUAGUAGUUAGUAGUAAGGGUAAUUUAGACUUUUCAAUUUACCUAUUUUCCUAGUAUAUAUUCUUAUUGUAAGACUAUGCAAUUAAGCUUUGCUCAUUGUAAUGUUAUCAAACCCUAAUAGUCUCCUUUGUA